rnacentral:rRNA from 1 species
CCCCAGCGCCACAAGUGGGAACCACGCUUAUUGGGUCUAAAGCAUCCGUAGCCGGUUCUGCAAAUGCCCUGUGAAAUCGUUGCGCUCAACGUAACGACGUGCAGGGUAGACUACAGAACUAGGGACCAGAGGAAGUAGACGGUAUUCCUGAGGGAGCGGUAAAAUGUGAUAAUCUCAGGAGGACCACCGAUGGCGAAGGCAGUCUACUAAUAUGGAUCCGACGGUGAGGGAUGAAAGCUAGGGGAGCGAUCCGG